AGAGUUUGAUCAUGGCUCAGAACGAACGCUGGCGGCAUGCCUAACACAUGCAAGUCGAACGCCCCGCAAGGGGAGUGGCGCACGGGUGAGUAACGCGUGGGAACCUGCCCUGGAGUGGGGGAUAACCGAGGGAAACCUCGGCUAAUACCGCAUACGUCCUGAGGGAGAAAGAUUUAUCGCUCUAGGAGGGGCCCGCGUCG
rnacentral:rRNA from 1 species